rnacentral:rRNA from 1 species
AGUGAACGCUGGCGGUAGGCCUAACACAUGCAAGUCGAACGGCAGCACAGUAAGAGCUUGCUCUUACGGGUGGCGAGUGGCGGACGGGUGAGGAAUACAUCGGAAUCUACUUUUUCGUGGGGGAUAACGUAGGGAAACUUACGCUAAUACCGCAUACGACCUACGGGUGAAAGCAGGGGAUCUUCGGACCUUGCGCGAUUGAAUUAGCCGAUGUCGGAUUAGCUAGUUGGCGGGGUAAAGGCCCACCAAGGCGACGAUCCGUAGCUGGUCUGAGAGGAUGAUCAGCCACACUGGAACUGAGACACGGUCCAGACUCCUACGGGAGGCAGCAGUGGGGAAUAUUGGACAAUGGGCGCAAGCCUGAUCCAGCCAUACCGCGUGGGUGAAGAAGGCCUUCGGGUUGUAAAGCCCUUAUGUUGGGAAAGAAAAGCAGCAGGUUAAUACCCCGCUGUUCUGACGGUACCCAAAGAAUAAGCACCGGCUAACUUCGUG